CCUUAUUUCUCCUCCUCCUCCUCCUCCUCCUCCUCCUCCGAUGGUGGAGAGAUCAGAGACUAGGGUUCGUCUGCUGCUGCGCUGGCGGUUUCUGGAUGUUCUUGAAUCCAGGAUCGACCCGCGUUCUUGCAUUAGGGAGCGAACUCAUAAUUCUCCCUCUUUGACAUCCUUGCUGAUUCUUCUUUUUCUUUUCUUGUGGCAGAUUCCAUCUUGGUGUUAGUUUUUCCGAUUUGUUGGGUGAUUUUGAUGUUGGAACGCCCGAAUGAAAUUAUUUUGUUGCAGUUUCUUUCUCUCUCUAUGGCUUUCUUUUCCGUGCUUGAUAAAUUUCUUGGUUCUUGCUAUGUAUUCUUGUUCUGUUUUGCAUAUGUAUUGGGUGAUUUCGGUGGUGGAACGCUUGAGCAGUCUUGUUACCUUGAGUGGAAUUGUUUCUUUGGUGUGAAAGAUUUGAUCUUGUUCUGUUUCGCGGAUGUGUUUAGCGAUUUCAAUAUUGGAAGACUUAUUUCAUACACAAAAGAAAGAAGAAAGGAAGUUCAAACAGUCACAUGGAAUGUGCGUUUUCCGGUUUCUUUCCUCCUUUCUUUCUUCUCUGUACUUGAUGACUUUAUUAUUUCUCGUCAAAGAUUUGAUCGUCUGCUAUUUUACGUAUGUGUACAAUGGUUCCUUUGUGCUUAAUUAUUUUUUUGCGGUUACUUUCUUUCUUCCUUAGUUUCUUUUCUGUGUUUGACGGAUUUCUUAUUUGCUGCAAAAUAUUUGAUGCCCUGUUGCCCUACUUGUGUGUUACACGAAUUUUGACAUUGGAACGCUUGAAUACAACCAUUGUAUUAUGCUUCCUUUAUUUAUUUCUCCUUUGGUGCUUUUAUGUGCAUGAUAAUUUUCUUAUUUCUCAUAAAAGAUUCAAUCUUCUGCUUGCUUGUGCGUUGGUGAUUUAAGUGUUUGAACGGUUGAAUGGAAUUAUUUUGUGUGUUCUUCCUUUCUUUCCUUCUUUCCUUCUUUCUUUCCUGUUCUUUGCGAAUUUCUUUGCCCCAUUCUGUUGAUGUCCCUGGUGAAUAUGUUGGGUUGUUUGAAUGGAAUUAUUUAUUAUGAUAUCUUUCUCUUUCUUUUCCCUGAUCUUUGGUUUAAUGGCUUAUAAGUUACAGAGAACAGUAAUUGUUUAAACCCUUUUGAUUUUAUUUACUUUCAAGUAAUUCGAAGCAUUUUUUUCAUAUAUUUCUAUAGGCCCAUAUGAGCUUGUAAAGGAAAGCUUCAGAUGUUAAGAUGGUCAUAUUGCUUUGAAUACUAUCAAGCAUUGGAUUACAUAAGUUUCUGCUGAUGACAUGACAUCUACAUGCACGUUUGAUCAGUUUUGAUGUCCUCACAUGUUGAUUGAUUUAUUUACUUAAAUCUUUGGAAUCCUUGAUUUGCAUGCAUUGUUCUGAUUGUUUCUUAUUCACUAUGCAUAUAGAUUUGUCCUACCUGAUAAUUUAAGCUUGUGUUGGAGUUGAAGCCUAUAGGAGGAAGAGUAAUAGAAAUGGCGAAAGCAUCACCAGGACAGGUAUCUCCAAAAGUAUAGAAGACAUGGCUGAAAGUCAUCGAGGAGGAGAAAUUACUAAGCUGGGUAUUAAGCAUGUCAACGUGGUGUUGCUUUAUGAGUCUUCUAGUGCUAACAAGAUCUUCAUGGCUUGUCGGAUAAGAAAAUUGUUGAAUGGAAGGGAACAGAAGUCCCUUCAGUUUGGCUGGGCUGAUUUUGCAGGGAGAUCAUGAUCCCUGUCCCAAGGUGGUGCAAGGGCUCGCUGAAGAUGCUAUUGAUUUUGCUGCUGAAACAUGGCACAGUGUAGGUCCUUUUCUCAUUCUAUAUUUACUUCUGAUUGUGAGAAUUGCGUGAGGAUGGAAAUAAUUUAUUACUGACACUGCAUUAUUGUAGAGACUUCUACAUAUUUAGCGGUACAUUCCUAGUUCUUGCACUUAGCAGAAACCCAUUUGAAAUGAUGAGAGCAAAGCUAUCUGUCAUCCAGAUCCUUCAAAGUUGCACCAUACUUAUUUCAGAUGUUAGGUUAUAUUGCUGUUUCUUUUGAACUCUUAUAGAAUAUAGACCAUAAUUUUAGGUUCUUGGACUCUUGCACCUUGUCCUAUACAGCAGUUCAGCAUGAUUCCAUUAUUGCACAAAUGUGCAGAAUUUUAGGUUUUGGUUCUAAUGGAUGAACUAAUCUACUUCUAUGACAGCAUCAAAAUUCUCUUGCUGACUCUUCUAUCGCCUUCUUCCACUGCAGAGCAUAUUAUGUGCCAUCAGGAUACCACCGUAUAUCCUGUGAUUUUAGUGCAUGUUUUUUCUCAUUUAGCAAUUCUCAUGCCUGUGAGGGCCUGGAAAGGCGAUGAAACUUCAGUUUGUUGGAAUCCUGUGCAUUGACCAAACAAAACUUCUCAUGUCCUGUUUGUCAUA